ACGGAGCAAGACCGCGUGAGGGAAGAAGGCUCUUGGGUCGUAAACCUCUUUUGUCAGGGAAGAACAAAAUGACGGUACCUGACGAAUCAGCCUCGGCUAACUCCGUGCCAGCAGCCGCGGUAAUACGGAGGAGGCAAGCGUUAUCCGGAAUUAUUGGGCGUAAAGCGUCCGCAGGUGGCUAUUCAAGUCUGCGGUCAAAGACUGGGGCUUAACCCUGGAAAGGCCGUGGAAACUGAAGAGCUAGAGUGCAGUAGGGGUAGAGGGAAUUCCCGGUGUAGCGGUGAAAUGCGUAGAGCUCGGGAAGAACAUCGGUGGCGAAAGCGCUCUGCUGGACUGCAACUGACACUCAGGGACGAAAGCUAGGGGAGCG
rnacentral:rRNA from 1 species